AUACGUAGGGGGCAAGCGUUAUCCGGAUUUACUGGGUGUAAAGGGAGCGUAGGUGGUUCGGCAAGUCAGAUGUGAAAGCCCGGGGCUCAACCCCCGGGACUGCAUUUGAAACUGCCGUACUAGAGUGCAGGAGAGGUAAGUGGAAUUCCUAGUGUAGCGGUGAAAUGCGUAGAUAUUAGGAGGAACACCAGUGGCGAAGGCGGCUUACUGGACUGUAACCGACACUGAGGCUCGAAAGCGUGGGGAGC
rnacentral:rRNA from 1 species